ACGAACGCUGGCGGCAGGCCUAACACAUGCAAGUCGAGCGAGAUCUUCGGGUCUAGCGGCGGACGGGUGAGUAACGCGUGGGAAUAUGCCCUUCUCUGCGGAAUAGCCUCGGGAAACUGAGCGUAAUACCGCAUACGCCCUUUGGGGGAAAGAUUUAUCGGAGAAGGAUUAGCCCGCGUUGGAUUAGGUAGUUGGUGGGGUAACGGCCUACCAAGCCGACGAUCCAUAGCUGGUUUGAGAGGAUGAUCAGCCACACUGGGACUGAGACACGGCCCAGACUCCUACGGGAGGCAGCAGUGGGGAAUCUUAGACAAUGGGGGCAACCCUGAGCUAGCCAUGCCGCGUGAGUGAUGAAGGCCUUAGGGUUGUAAAGCUCUUUCAGCUGGGAAGAUAAUGACGGUACCAGCAGAAGAAGCCCCGGCUAACUCCGUG
rnacentral:rRNA from 1 species